UACGUAGGGGGCAAGCGUUGUCCGGAAUUAUUGGGCGUAAAGAGCGUGUAGGCGGUCCGGUAAGUCAGCUGUGAAAGUCAAGGGCUCAACCCUUGAAUGCCGGUUGAUACUGUCGGGCUAGAGUCCGGAAGAGGCGAGUGGAAUUCCCGGUGUAGCGGUGAAAUGCGCAGAUAUCGGGAGGAACACCAGUGGCGAAGGCGACUACCUGGCCUGUUCUUGACGCUGAGGCGCGAAAGCUAGGGGAGCAAACGGG
rnacentral:rRNA from 1 species